ensembl:lncRNA
CUGUGGUUGGAGCAGCAGGACUGAACUUCCUCAGGAAGCUGCCACUGGUCAGCCAGAAGGAGGGAGAGGACACCAGGAAGAAGGGACAUCAGAAACUGGGUUGCAACCCUUGUGAUUAAGCGUAAGCCCCCAUUCAAGGACCCAGGAGCCGCUGUCCCGGCGGCGCGGACUCCGACGAGACAAUGACCAUAGCCUGAAGUUCGAGCACCAGCUCCAGCUGGGCAACUCUCGCCUCUGGCGCUUGACGCACGCGGACACCCCGGGGCCCUGCCCUUGACCUUGUGGAACCUGAGCAGCUCUGCGGCCAACCAGCAAGUUUUUUAAAAAAGGCUUCAUGUAUCCUGACAAACGAAGUGCACUGAAAUGAAGAAAUUCUCAAGCUACUAGGCAGCUGGGAUUGUGCAGUGAUUUGCUCCUGAUCUUGCAGCUGAGGCUCCAGCACUCACUAGCUGAAGAGGAGGAGGAAUUUGACAAGUAAAUGCCAUUCUCCCUUUCAGCCACGAACCCAGUGAAACUUGUUGACACCAGAAAUGCUCCUUGGCUGUUUCCUCACUGAAUUUGUGCUUAAGUAUCCAGUGGCCUUUGAGAACUAAAGUGGAAAUGACCUAGUGAGGAAGGAACAUGAGCACAGCCUGCCCUGGUCACACAAUUAAAAUGUAUACGCUGGCCAAAGGUACAUCACUACUCCACCCUUCAGAGAGAAGGGCCCUUUUUGACCUGGAAGCCUAGUAAAGAAUUCCACUGGGGAAGUCCCUGUCCCUUCUGAAAGGACACUGAGAAACCUUGUUCCCUAGACUGCAGCCACACAAAGGGUUCUCUGCAAAUACCAAGUCAUUAUUCUAGAAAUGUAAAGAAGCAUUAGGGAUGCUAUGUGAACAAAAGCUGGACACCCAGAUGCUGUCUUGGCUAGGUUGCAGUUUGAAUGAUCUAAUGUUUUCUGGCUCCUUCUUGCUUUGCUUUUCCAAUUUGGUUUGAAUAUUUGUGUUACUGUAUUAUUUUCCUUGUACAAUUGCUGCUGUCUAUACACAAUUAGGUCAUCUUCAUAGCUGUGUGAGGACACACUUCAGAAGUGAGAUGAGCUACAGCUGGUAGCUGGCUCUCUCCUGGGAUGAGCAUUUAGUUCUCCUUCCUGUUGGUCCCAAAGAUGCUACCUGCACACAGACUCUAAAAGUUUUAAGUUAUCUAACAAACAGGAAUGAACCACAACAUCCUUUGUAGUGGUAGGAAAGCACAUCUUGUUUCUGUAAGUUUUGGGCUGAUUUGCUGGUAGAGUCAAAAUCCUCCUUGGGCCAAAUCUAAUCCCAUAUUAUUAUGCCCCAGACAAAAGAAAGGACCUUUUUUUGGUAGCCUGUGGCUUCUUGGUCUAUGGAAGUUUGGCUGAAACAGAUUCUGGGCAAGGGAGAAGGAAAAGGAAGUUAUGAAGAAAGAAAAGGCAAGUUUCUCUCAGGGGACCAGAAAUGCAUAUAGCUGCUCACAGCCAUGUUCACAAAGUACCCUGCAACCCCUUGUUGACACAAAACCUCACUGAUACACACCCCACUGAUCUAGUUCUUUCAACUAUCUAGAAUUUGUGGCCUUUUGGAUAAAACCAAGGCUAAAGUUUACUUUUGUGCUCUCUCUGAAAAUAAAGUUGGGCUAAACAAAUGGGAAUGACAGACUGCAAUUAGAGUCACUGAGGCAAGCCUCCUGAUGCUUAAAACGCUUCAUAAUCACACAUGACCUUAUCCAGCUUAUUGAAUGCCUCAUUACAGGCAGAACGGUCUCUCUAUCACAGUCUUCUCAUUGUUUUCUGCUUGCUUUCUCUGUUGGCACCUUAGAUCUGAGUCUAUGGCUCUGUUUCUUCUCUCUCUGCCUUUUUAUCCAAAUCACUCAUUCAUCAUUAUUCAACAGAUACUGUGCAGCUUCCACAUGUCAAGAAUAUGCUAGAUGCUAGAGUUAUAACAAUUGAAAAAGGAAUAUCUGCUCUCAGGAAGUUCACAGUCUAAUAGGGAAUACUGAGGAUAAAAUGUGGUGACCAUACUAUGAGGGGAAACCCAUGUCCAAGGCCUGAGUGAUAGUUGAAUGAUGAGAUGACUAACCCCCAGAGAAAUGAUCACCCAAGUUCUCUCAGAUGGCUUAUUACAGGGUUGGAACUCAAGAGAUCAGUUAAGAACAGAAGCUUGACCUCCUGCCACCACCUUCAUUUCAAGGCUUCCCAUAGCCUUGGAGUCUUCUCUGCUUCUUCAACAUCCAGUUGCACAUAGUUCAUGCUCAUUCUUCUCUAGCACUGACUUAUUCCUACCUCAAUAGGAUGCACAUUUAUCACUUAAGCUAGACAUCUGUCUUACCAUCCUCUGAAGAUUAAUGUGCUGAUAAAUUUUGAGUAGGUAGAAUGAAAAGUACAUUUAGAGCUAUGAAGCAAUACAAACCUUGAUACUAAAGCCAUUAUCAAAAUAACAUAUUAAUUCAAUAAAUGAAUCAGUCAAAGGAUCAAUCGCUAAUCAUUACUAGAUUUUAUGGGCUGAGGCAUGUUUUCAUGUAUAGCAUGGCUGCACUCCUAGGGAAUGUACUGCCAAGUUGGCAGUACAAUGUGAAAAAGGAAAGAAAGGC